rnacentral:rRNA from 1 species
AUUGAACGCUGGCGGCAGGCUUAACACAUGCAAGUCGAGCGGAGAUGAGGUGCUUGCACCUUAUCUUAGCGGCGGACGGGUGAGUAAUGCUUAGGAAUCUGCCUAUUAGUGGGGGACAACAUUCCGAAAGGAAUGCUAAUACCGCAUACGCCCUACGGGGGAAAGCAGGGGAUCUUCGGACCUUGCGCUAAUAGAUGAGCCUAAGUCGGAUUAGCUAGUUGGUGGGGUAAAGGCCUACCAAGGCGACGAUCUGUAGCGGGUCUGAGAGGAUGAGCCGCCACACUGGGACUGAGACACGGCCCAGACUCCUACGGGAGGCAGCAGUGGGGAAUAUUGGACAAUGGGCGGAAGCCUGAUCCAGCCAUGCCGCGUGUGUGAAGAAGGCCUUUUGGUUGUAAAGCACUUUAGGCGAGGAGGAGGCUACCUGGAUUAAUACUCUAAGAUAGUGGACGUUACUCGCAGAAUAAGCACCGGCUAACUCUGUGCCAGCAGCCGCCGUAAUAC